rnacentral:rRNA from 1 species
AUUGAACGCUGGCGGCAGGCCUAACACAUGCAAGUCGAGCGGUAGAGAGGUGCUUGCAUCUCUUGAGAGCGGCGGACGGGUGAGUAAUGCCUAGGAAUCUGCCUAGUGGUGGGGGAUAACGUUCGGAAACGGACGCUAAUACCGCAUACGUCCUACGGGAGAAAGCGGGGGAGUCUUCGGACCUCGCGCCAUUAGAUGAGCCUAGGUCGGAUUAGCUAGUUGGUGAGGUAAUGGCUCACCAAGGCGACGAUCCGUAACUGAUCUGAGAGGAUGAUCAGUCACACUGGAACUGAGACACGGUCCAGACUCCUACGGGAGGCAGCAGUGGGGAAUAUUGGACAAAUAGGGCGGAAAGGACCUGAUCCAGCCAUG